rnacentral:tRNA from 1 species
GGCAGGGUGGCUGAGUCAGGCUUAAAGCGUCUGAUUGAAGGUCAGAUUGACACACCCACGUGUCACGCGGGUUCGAAUCCCGUCCCUGCCG